rnacentral:rRNA from 1 species
GGCGAACGCUGGCGGCGUGCCUAAUACAUGCAAGUCGAACGCUGAAGGAGGAGCUUGCUCUUCUGGAUGAGUUGCGAACGGGUGAGUAACGCGUAGGUAACCUGCCUGGUAGCGGGGGAUAACUAUUGGAAACGAUAGCUAAUACCGCAUAACAGUAGAUGUUGCAUGACAUUUGCUUAAAAGGUGCAAUUGCACCACUACCAGAUGGACCUGCGUUGUAUUAGCUAGUUGGUGGGGUAACGGCUCACCAAGGCGACGAUACAUAGCCGACCUGAGAGGGUGAUCGGCCACACUGGGACUGAGACACGGCCCAGACUCCUACGGGAGGCAGCAGUAGGGAAUCUUCGGCAAUGGACGGAAGUCUGACCGAGCAACGCCGCGUGAGUGAAGAAGGUUUUCGGAUCGUAAAGCUCUGUUGUAAGAGAAGAACGAGUGUGAGAGUGGAAAGUUCACACUGUGACGGUAUCUUACCAGAAAGGGACGGCUAACUACGU